rnacentral:rRNA from 1 species
AUGCAGAACAAAAUACAGGCUGUCUACGAGGCUAUCAUGUGCACCCGGAGAAGCGAUGUUGUUCAGCACCAGCCACAGCAGCCGCAUACCUCCAUGCACCGACAUCAACCACGUCCACGUCUAGCACAUCAGCCGACGACCAGGCCACCCCCUCCUGAACAACCUGGCAGUUCAUCAUGGCAGCACCCACAACACUAUGGUCCCACAUCGAGAUUCGUGUUUUCUCCAUAUCCACAGCAGCACGGUCCCUCAUCGAGCUUUGUGUUUGAGCCAGAGCAUUGA